GCCCCCAUCGUCUAGUGGCCUAGGACAUCUCUCUUUCAAGGAGGCGACGGGGAUUCGAAUUCCCCUGGGGGUA
rnacentral:tRNA from 11 species